rnacentral:rRNA from 1 species
ACUUAAAAGAAUUUAAUUUUGGUUCUGAUUAUACGCUAUCCAGUAGUAUAAGGCAUGCAAAUUUAUUGUUAAGAAUACUUAACAAAGUGUAGGGGUGAGUAAUAUUUGAUCAGAUACACUAUUGAUUCCAAAAAUGGGAGAUAAUUUUAAAGUUUAACUUUAAAUAAAGGAUUUUUAUCCGCGAUAGUAUUCGAUUGAAUUCGUUUAGGUAGUUGGUGGGGUAAUGGCCCAUCCAAGCCAACGAUCGAUAGCUAUGUUUGAAAGAUCAUAUGGCCACAUUGGGAAUGAAAUAUCCCAAGUAGAGUAACUCUACCAGCAGUCGAGAAUUUUAGUCAAUGCUCGAAAGAGUGAACUAGCUAACUGGAAUCACAUUUGUGUCAUUUGUGAUAACGUAAGGGAAAAAUCAUGAUAUAACUUUACUAUUAGUGUUGUCAAAAGCUGGUGCCAGAAGACUCGGUAAGGCCAGAGACGCGAGCGUAAAUCAUCUUAAAAAGGCGUAAAGGGUACGUAGGCAGCUUUAAUAUUAUUUAUUUAUUUAUUGAAAGAUUUAUUUAAAUAUUAUUGAUCGAAGAUAGAAUCAUAUAGAGGUCACAGACCAGAUAAUUCUAGGAGCAUAUUCAGGGAUGAAAUCUUUAGAUUCCUAGAAGAAUAAUAGUUAGCGAAUGCUCUUUUCCAACUUAUGAUUGACGCUGAGGUACGAAGGGGGGGGUAGACAAUAGGAUUGGAGACCCUGGCAUUCCUCUCUGUAAACGAUGAAUGGUAGUCGCUAGUUUGAGAAUUAGUGGCGAUGCUAACGCGUUAACCAUUCCGCCUUGUGAGUACGGCCGCAAGGUUGAAAACAAAAAAAUUAGUCGGUUUCGGAGCAAACGGAGUGAAGCAUGUUGUUUAAUACGAUAAUCCGCGUAUAACCUUACCAGGUCUUGUAUACCUAUUUUCUAGUGAAAGUGAUGAUAGCGGAAAUAAUUUAUUAUUUUACGGUUAUCUAAGAAUGUAAUGAAAAAUAUAAUCUUUAUGGUUAGUGUACAGGUGCUGCAUGGCUGUCUUUAGUCCGUGUCGUGAGAUAUAAGGUUCACUCCACCAACGGACAAAAUCCCUAUUUUUAAUUUAUACUUAAAAAAAACAACAUUUAUAUAAUGCUCGGGGGCUAAGACAAGCCGUUAUGGUCCUCAUGACCUGGGCUACAAACGUGCCACAAGAUCUUUUACAAAGUGAAGCAAGCCCAUUAAAGUAAAUCGCUAAAUGAAAGUAUUAGUAAAAAAAAGUUGGCUAUCACUAUUAUCACUAUUAUCACUAUAAUCACUAUAAUAAUUAUAGCUAGGAAGAAAAAAUUUUUAAUUAAUUAUCUUCCGUAAACUUUUUUGUUUUUAUUUUUUUUUUAAUAUUAAAGAAUAAAAUUUAAAUACUAAUUAUUAAUAGUUUAGACCCACGAUUUAUUCCCUGAGUAACGGAGGAGCUAAUCAUUAAAAAAAGGUAGAAUAUUAAAACAAUAUUUUUUAAAAAACGGAUUGUUCUCUGAAACUUGAGGGCAUGAAGAAGGAAUUUCGAGUAAUCGUUGAUCAUUAGGCGCAACGGUGAAAAUAAGAAUCCGUAAUGAACUAACUGUCUGUCGCUGGGAAGGAAUUCGGAUAGGAGGCUAAAGGAGUUAGGGACUAUGUUUAUUGCAUAAGACGGUUUAUAUAAUUGAAUUUGAUUAGUAAACAUCUUUUACUUAACUAGCUAACUUUUUUUAAUCCAUUUGGGUAACAUCUCAUAAGUCAUAGCAAGGUAGUCGUACUGGAAGGUGCGGCUGGAAAAUAAGAAAC